UACGUAGGGGGCGAGCGUUGUCCGGAUUUACUGGGUGUAAAGGGCGUGUAGGCGGGACGGCAAGUCAGAUGUGAAACCGAUGGGCUCAACCCAUCGCCUGCAUUUGAAACUGUCGUUCUUGAGUGAUGGAGAGGCAGGCGGAAUUCCCAGUGUAGCGGUGAAAUGCGUAGAUAUUGGGAGGAACACCAGUGGCGAAGGCGGCCUGCUGGACAUUAACUGACGCUGAGGCGCGAAAGCGUGGGGAGCAAACAGGAUUAGAUACCCUGGUAGUCCACGCCGUAAACGAUGGAUACUAGGUGUGGGGGGACUGACCCCCUCCGUGCCGGAGUUAACACAAUAAGUAUCCCACCUGGGGAGUACGAUCGCAAGAUUGAA
rnacentral:rRNA from 1 species